rnacentral:tRNA from 1 species
GCCUGGCUGGCUCAGUUGGUAGAGCAUGCAUUUCUUGACCUCAGGUUCAUGAGUUCAAGCCCCAUGCUUGGCA